UUUAGCUUGUAGUACACCUUGUGACAUUGAGGGAAUUGUUUCUAAAUAUAAAAUUCCUGGGAACCUUGACAAAGCCUGCCCUCCUAUUGUUAAUGCCGAGGUGUGGCGUAUAAUGGAUAGAAAAGGCCAUGCCUCAGAUAAGGGGCUGCAAGAUGUGCAGGCAAUUUUGACUGCUGCUAUGGUUCCCAUUAUCAAGCUGGCAGAAACAGUUAAAAAGUCAAAUGUUAAAGUUCAAUGCAAGGAAUAUAUUGCAGAUGCCCUUACUCUAAUGGGUCAAGUGCAAUACAAUAUUUCUGUUAAACGCAGAUAUGGUAUUAGGCCACACCUGAAUAAAAAGUAUGCAUCACUAUGCAAUGUUAGUAUGCCAAUCACUACCAAGUUGUUUGGAGAUGAUGUUACAAAAGACCUGAAAGCCUGUGACUCAAUGUUUAAUAUAGGAUCAGGAAAACCAUGGUGGAAGUCAAAGACUCUACGUCCAACUCACAGGCCAUACAGAGGCAGUUCCAAUUAUUCAAAUUAUGGUGGCGCUGGUGUAGGCCGUUUCCAACCAUACCCACAGAGAGGCGGGCGACCUUUUCGAAGGGGUCUCUCAGGUGGCAGUUUUCGAGGACGAGGUGGAUACGGCCAAUCCCCAAGUGGAAAAUAGAUCGAUGGUAGACUUCCAAGACAUCGAGACAUCCUGACAUUACCACACAAUGGACAAGUUCACCCGUUGUCAAAGAGACUCGACUUGGUCGCGGCAGUUGUAUCGGGGAGGCCCUCCGUUGUAGAGGACUUUCAUCAGAGACUACAACCAUCAUCUUGGCUGCCUGGAGAAGAGGAACUCUCAAACAGUAUGAUUCUGCAUGGCGGAAGUGGAUGUCUUGGUGUAUGUGCAGGGAAACUUCUCCCUUUAACUCAUCUGAAGUAACUGUACUUCAAUACUUGGAGCAUUUAAGGUCUAUUAACAAGUCAUACUCUGUGUUGAACACUCAUAAAUCAAUGUUAAUGCAAACAUUACCCUUUUUUGGAAAUAAGUGGUGUAAAGACUGUUUUUUAAUUCAGAAAUUUAUGAAGGGAGUUUUUCAUUCUCGUCCUCCAGUACCUAGAUACCAGUUUGUGUGGGAUGUUACUCUUGUAUUGAAUUUUUUAAAGUCUUUGAAUCCAUUGUGUAAUUUAUCAUUAAAAAUGUUAACAUUUAAAGUGGUUGCACUUUUGGCAUUAGGAAAUGCACCUAGAGCUCAAACUUUGAUUUCUAUGGAUUUGUCUUGUAUGAAAAAAGAAGGGGCUGUGCUUAUUUGUGUGUUUCCUAAUUUAUUGAAAACUACCAAGUUAGGUAGACCUUAUGUUAUGAAGAUUGAACAUUUUAAGGAUGAAAAAUUAUGCAUUUUGCAUUCUUUGUUGUUUUAUAUUAGAGUUACGAAACCACUUAGGAAAUCUUCAAAAUUGUUCAUUUCUUAUGUGACUUAUAAAGCAGUUACAUCUAGUACUAUUGCUAGAUGGCUAAAGAGUGUGUUGGACCUUUCAGGUAUAAACACUGAUUAUUUUAAAGCACAUUCAUUUCGAAGUGCCUCUACAUCAGCUGCAUAUGCAAAAGGUUGUAGACUUAAAGACAUCUUAAGUACAGCUGAUUGGACAUCAGAUAAGAAUUUUAAAAAGUUCUAUUUGAGGGAGUCUGUUGAUUCAAAAAGUUUUGUAAACAGCGUGUUUUCAAAGUAACGUUUAAUUAAAUAUUAGGACGGGAUUUUUCUCUGUUUAUGAAUACUUCAUCAUUAUGACAUUGUUACAGUAAUGUCAAUAAUUGUGGUUGUUAGGCUACAUAUGUUCAUUUUCUUAUUGAAUUUGUUGAUAUUUACAUGUAUCCUACAAAUUUGAUAUUCAAUGAAAUUUGGGAAAAUAAAUGUAUUUUUCUUGCAUAUGGUA